GGUCCUCAAACCAUUCCUGAACAAAUCUUGCAAUAUGGCAGGGUGCAUUAUCCUGCUGAAGGGCCAUUGUCAUCGGGGAACACUAUUGCCACAACAGAGUGCACAUGGUCUGCAACAAUCUCUAGGUAUGUGAUAUGUGUCAAAGUAACAUCCACAUGAAUGCCAGGACCCAAGGUUUCCCAGCAGAACAUUGCCCAGAGCAUUACACUGUCUCCAUCAGCCUCCCUUCUUCCCAUAGUGCAUCCUGCUGCCCUCUCUCUGCCUCAGGUAAAUGAUGCACAAACAUCUGGCCAUCCAACUGAUCUUU